UCUUGAUGAAGCUUUUGAUUCCUUCAAUUAUAUGAUUCAUAUGCACCCAACUCCUGCUAUGUCUUCCUUCAGUAUUUUGUUUUCUGCACUUGUUAAGAAAAAACAUUUUGAUCAACUUCUUGUGAUGUACACGAGAUUCAUUUCAGCUGGGUUGUUGCCGGAUUUCUUUAUUUUGAAUAUUUUAAUUGAUUGCUUAAGCAAAAUGGCACGCGAUUCUGAUGGUUUUGUAGUUCUUGGGAGUAUUUUUAGGAGGGGUUUUUACCCAAACGCUUUGACUUUUAGCAAUCUGAUUAAUGGUCUUUGUAUGGCGGGCAAGAUUAAGGCCAUUGAAUUUUUUAGGAAAAUGGUUUCGGUUGGUUGUGGACAGGAUGUGGUUACAGUUGGGACUUUGAUUACUGGGUUGUGUAGAACUGGUAAUGUCACUGUUGCCCUUCAGUUGUUUGAAGAAAUGAAUAACGGGAAUGGUGAAUUUGGUGUCAUUUGUAAGCCUAAUAUUGUUUGUUAUACUACAAUUAUUGAUGGUCUUUGCAAAUAUGGGUUAGUAGACAAGGCAAAGAAACUGUUUUCAGAAAUGAAGACCAAGGGCAUUAAUCCAAACGUGAUUACUUACACCACUCUAAUUUAUGGUUUGUGUAAUACAUCUAAUUGGGAGGAGGCUAAAACUUUGUUUAUAGAGAUGUUGGAGGAAGGUGUAAAACCUAAUGUGGUGACAUUUAGCGUGGUAAUUGAUAAGCUCUGUAUCAAUGGAAAGAUGGACGAAGCCAAUGGGUUGUUCCAACUAAUGAUUAAUAGAGGUGUUUGUCCCAACACAAUAACUUAUAGCACACUUUUGAGUGGUUUUUGCUCGGCAGGUCAAAUUGAUGAUGCUAGAAGGCUAUUUGAUUCCAUGGCAAAAUAAUGAGACUUUAAAAGUGGUGGAACUUCUUCACAAAAUGAAAGAGAGAAAUGUGAAACCAGAUGCAUCCAUAGGUUCAAUAAUAUUAGAUUUACUGGGAAAGCAUGAAGAUUAUCGUGAAGUCCUGAAUUUGCUACCAUCCUUUUCAACCCAAGAACCAACAGGAUGUUGAUUGUUGAGUAAGUGCAUUUUCCAGGGGAGUAUAGGUUAUCAAGAGAGCCCUGGCAAACGUUAAAGUUUCCGUGUAAAGGAAAAUACUGACGAAGAUGCUCGUAAGGUUGUAGAUGGUUUAGCACCCAAGGCCACUGAUCAAAAUGAUGCUAUUGAGAAAUGGUAUGAACAUGAAUGUCUCAUCUGUUUACUCUUAGUGCUACUUGUAAUAUACGUACAUAAAUAUAGUCUCUACAUUUGUUCGUUUUUACCAAUCAAUGUUAGUAGGAAUCUUUAUUUCUUUGGAAAGAUGAAUCCCCUUGUUGAAGUCUCUAGUAAGAAGUUGGUGGUAGCUGUUGCUAAGUUGAACUUCGAUGGUGGUGUUGCCUUCCUGGUAGAAGGGAAUCUCUCUUGUGGUCCAUCACUAGAGGGUCCUUGAGAGGUUUCGAUACAUUUACUUCUCGAUUUAUUGUUUACGUGGAAUAAUUAUUCUUAAUAGUAACUGCCAAACAAGUACACGAAGAUUCAAGUCUGGUUAGUGAUUAAGAGAGUUGUGGUGCUUUUUGGAUAUUCUAUAUGGCAACCAAAUUCUUCUGAUUAAUUUGGCGAUUUUCUUCUGCAUCCUUUAAUUUCUUUGCUCUUUUUGGUACCUAAGUUCAGUUAUCUCGAAAAUGGGCUUUUAAAGUUUGCUAGCAGAAUGGAGUUUCAAAUUGCGAGAGGAAGACUACUGCUAUCACACAACACAAAUUAGCCUUCUGCUUUAAUUCAUGCACUGAAAAUAGGGCUUGUCUUUGAGGCUUGUGACAAAAUUAGAGUCUCUCUUCUCAGCAUCAUCAACAAUUAGAUUAUAAAUGUACAUGAGGAACUAUUAAUUAUGGUGUCAACAACACUAGUGUGCAACAAAUUAUAAAGUAGUUUCUCACUUUGCAUGA